UUAUCAUUUAGAGGAAGGAGAAGUCGUAACAAGGUUUCCGUAGGUGAACCUGCGGAAGGAUCAUUGUCGAUGACCCACUAGGCUGACCGGCGAACUUGUGAUAUUGUUCCUCGAGGGAUGACGGUCUAUCCUUGCGAUACCGAAAACCCUUCCCCUCUCAUUGCUCUACCUUGUUUGACACGCUUUGGUCUCGUGCCAUGCGUUGAUCCUUGGGUGCAGCACGAGGGAACGAACCAACAACACCGGCGCGGCAUGCGUCAAGUAAUAACAAACUGAAAUAGGCUCUCCCCCUGUUGUGUCCCUCAAGGGUACGGCUUGGGGGUGUUGCCACUUAUUCUAAUUGAAAACAUAGAUGACUCUCGGCAACGGAUAUCUAGGCUCUUGCCACGAUGAAGAACGUAGCGAAAUGCGAUACUUGGUGUGAAUUGCAGAAUCCCGUGAACCAUCGAGUUUUUGAACGCAAGUUGCGCCCGAGGCCACCUGGCCAAGGGCACGCCUGCCUGGGCGUCACGCUUUGCGUCGCUCCCCUCCCUCCCAUUCUCCUCUUUGGGCGUAUGGUGUUUGCGAGGAGCGGAUAUUGGCUGUCCGUGCCACGUUUGUGCGGUCGGCUGAAAGACGGGCCCCUGGUGUGUUGCGACACGACGAGUGGUGGUCAAAUGCCCUUCUCACCGUGUGGGACGUCGAGUUGCAUUCCUUGUGGCUCUUGGGACUCUUGGAGCCGCUUCGCGGCAACCUGCAUCGCGACCCCAGGUCAGGCGGGGCCACCCGCUGAGUUUAAGCAUAUCAU
rnacentral:misc_RNA from 1 species